UAUGUGAUCGUCUCUCGCAUAUCAAUAAGCGGAGGAAAAGAAACUAACAAGGAUUCCCCUAGUAACGGCGAGUGAAGCGGGAAGAGCUCAAAUUUGAAAUCUUAAAGGGUUUCCCUUUACGAAUUGUAGUUUAAAGAAGUGUUUUCUGUUGAGGUUUUGGUAAAAGUUCUUUGGAAUAGGACAUCAUAGAGGGUGAGAAUCCCGUAUUUGACCUUUACUUUCAACUUUGUGAUACACUUUCAAAGAGUCGGAUUGUUUGGGAAUGCAGUCCAAAAUGGGUGGUAAAUUUCAUCUAAAGCUAAAUAUUGGCGAGAGACCGAUAGCGAACAAGUACCGUGAGGGAAAGAUGAAAAGAACUUUGAAAAGAGAGUUAAACAGUACGUGAAAUUGUCAAAAGGGAAGCGUUUGACACCAGUGUUGUCUUUUCUGAAAAUCAAUUAAAGAACUGUUUAUGCUAAGCUGUUUAGACUUUAUCAGCUAAUCUGUUUAGUUUUGAGCUUUUCUUUAAUGCACUUUUCAGUUAACAAGUCAACAUCAAUUUCUUUUGCUGUAAAAAAGCUUGAGGAAGGUGGCUUGAGAUUCGUCUUAAGUGUUUAUAGCCUCUUGCCUAUGCAGUCGGAGAGAUUGAGGUCUGCAGUGUAGAUCCUUCGGGGCUAAAUGCAUUUGUGCUAAGUUAUAGCAUUUUAUAGACAACUUGUUGACUAUGAUUUGUCUUGUAGCUUACUCGCUUAUGUUAUUUUACCUACGCUUAGGAUGUUGACACACGCGCGUGCUCG
rnacentral:rRNA from 1 species